CAGCAGCCGCGGUAAUACGUAGGGGGCGAGCGUUAUCCGGAAUUACUGGGCGUAAAGAGUAUGUAGGUGGUUAAGUAAGCGUAGGGUUUAAGGCGACAGCCCAACUGUCGUAUGCCCCGCGAACUGUUUAACUUGAGUACAGGAGGGGAAGGCGGAAUUCCUAGUGUAGCGGUGAAAUGCGUAGAUAUUAGGAGGAACACCAGUGGCGAAGGCGGCCUUCUGGACUGUAACUGACACUGAGAUACGAAAGCGUGGGUAGCAAACAGGAUUAGAUACCCUGGUAGUCCACGCCGUAAACGAUGAGCACUAGGUGUCGGGCUCGCAAGAGUUCGGUGCCGGAGCAAACGCAUUAAGUGCUCCGCCUGGGGAGUACGCACGCAAGUGUGAAACUCAAAGGAAUUGACGGGGACCCGCACAAGCAGCGGAGCAUGUGGUUUAAUUCGAAGCAACGCGAAGAACCUUACCAGGACUUGACAUCCCACUGAAAGCUCGGUUAAAACUGAGCCCUUCUUCGGAACAGUGGAGACAGGUGGUGCAUGGUUGUCGUCAGCUCGUGUCGUGAGAUGUUGGGUUAAGUCCCGCAACGAGCGCAACCCUUGCCGUUAGUUGCCAUCAUUAAGUUGGGCACUCUAAUGGGACUGCCGGGGAGAACCCGGAGGAAGGCGGGGAUGACGUCAAAUCAUCAUGCCCCUUAUGUUCUGGGCUACACACGUGCUACAAUGGCCGUCACAGAGGGAAGCGAGAGAGCGAUCUUAAGCGAAACCAAAAAGGCGGUCCCAGUUCGGACUGCAGGCUGCAACUCGCCUGCACGAAGCCGGAGUUGCUAGUAAUCGCGGAUCAGAAUGUCGCGGUGAAUGCGUUCCCGGGUCUUGUACACACCGCCCGUCACACCAUGGAAGUUGGGGGUGCCCAAAGUCGGUCAAGAAGAGGUCGCCUAAGGCA
rnacentral:rRNA from 1 species